AGCAGAGUGGGCCGGGGAAACCCGGUCUAAUGCGGGCCGGCAUAGUGCCGGCACGGUCACAACCCCGA
rnacentral:ribozyme from 1 species